UGAGAAGUCCCUCAUUUGACCACAAAGUUU
rnacentral:piRNA from 2 species